rnacentral:rRNA from 1 species
AUACGGAGGGUGCAAGCGUUAAUCGGAAUUACUGGGCGUAAAGCGCGCGUAGGCGGUUUGGUAAGUCGGAUGUGAAAGCCCAGGGCUCAACCCUGGAAUUGCAUUCGAUACGGCCGGACUAGAGUAUGGUAGAGGGAAGUGGAAUUUCCGGUGUAGCGGUGAAAUGCGUAGAUAUCGGAAGGAACACCAGUGGCGAAGGCGACUUCCUGGGCCAAUACUGACGCUGAGGUGCGAAAGCGUGGGGAGCAAACAGGAUUAGAAACCCCGGUAGUCC